rnacentral:lncRNA from 1 species
AUGACUUGCAUGAAGAUGUUGGUAUCCUGCAUCUGUUUCCCUGUUUUGCCAGAUGCUUUGAGCUCAACAGGUCGCCAAGAGCAGGCAGUGAAACCCCAAACCUUCAGCGGUGGCUUUGGAUGCCUGCAGCAGCCAGGGCUUCUCUGGCCACCUGUGUGUUUGCGGCUUUUAAGUGCCUGCCCAGACCCUGACGUUUCAAGCAAACUGGAUUGCUUGAAGCACAUGGAAGGAUCAUGCUGGUUCCAAACUCCUUUCAAUAUGAACUGCAACUGCAUUACUUGCUUUUGGAUAUCAUAUUUUGUGCACCUUUUUGGACUUGCAGGAAUGUGGGGUUUUUUUUCUACAGGAAAUGAUUGA